CCAGGAUACUGAUUGUCCAGGUGGUCUGUGCCAGGCUAGUGAUGGUCCCAGGUGGACUGAGCCAGGCUAGUGAUGGUCCAGGUGGUCUGAGCCAGGCUAGUGAUGGUCCAGGUGGUCUGAGCCAGGCUAGUUUUGGUCCAGAUGGACUGAGCCAAGCUAGUGAGGGUCCAGAUAGUGUGAGCCAAGCUAGUGAUGGCCCCGGGUGGUCUGAGCCAGGCUAGUGAUUGUCCCAGGUGGAUGAAGUCAGGCUAGUGAUGGUCCAGGUGGUCUGAGACAGGCUAGUGAUGGCCCCAGGUGCUCUGAGCCAGGAUAGUGAUUGUCCCAGGUGGACUAAGUCAGGCUAGUGAUGGUCCAGGUGGUCUGAGCCAGGCUAGUGAUGGUCCCAGGUGGCCUCUAGGUGGCCCAUCCCAGGCAGGUAGAGGAAGCCCGCAGUGCCCAUGGCUGG